GUUUCUGAUAUUGUGUAUUAGUCUUUGGAAAAAAAUUCAAAAUUAACAAAAUGUUGCUGCAUGUGUAUAAUUCUGUGAAAGAUGAGCAGAUACUUGGUUUGCCCUUAUUAGACGUAAAGGUUUUCUAAGAAGCCUGAAUUAGUAUUUUCUCUAAAGCCAGUUUCAACUGAGAAGGGAAGGCCCGUAAAGUUGAGCUGUGUUACUGGAAUUACAGAUGUUUGUGUUUUAUGUUAUGUGUAUAUGGAUAUUGCAAAGGGCUUAUUGCUCUGACACCUGGUUGUUGUGUGUGUGUGUGUGUGUACACUUGCACGUGAGUGUGUGGGUGAAGAAAAGAUGUCUCCUUCUGGGACCCUAUAUCAAAACAAUUUUAAUAAUAGCAUAUAGAAGUAAAUUUUGCAUACCUAAGGCUUAUUUGAAAUAAUCUGUAAUUAAUCCCCCGAACUGGAUCACGUUGUAUGCAGACAUUUGAUGGCUUUAGCAAAAUAUUUCUCACAUCUUAAAUCAAUUCUAAAAAAGAGAAGUCUAUAUAUCCAGCUGUCUCUUGACAGUUCUUAUGUGCCAAACUGAAAAUAUCUGAAAUAGAGCGCUUCAUUCUCCCUCCAAUCUGCCCCUCCCCUAAUCUUCCUCAUCUCAGCAAAUGACACCAAAAUUCAUGGGGUCGUCUCCAUGUGCGUUUUAAUUGAAAGCUUUCACCUGUGUCUGGAGAGGAGGGGUCUGCUGCAUGGUCACUGGAAGUUUGCCACAUGUGGCCCCAAGUUGCCACGUGGAAUUCCUUUCUAAAGAUCCUUAAGUGGCUCUUUCUGUGAAGACAGAAGGCCUACUGGGAAGGUUUUCAUGAGUGGUGCUAGAUUAUAAAGACCUCGCUCAGUCACAUGUAUAUUAAUAUUCACUGAGCGCCCGGCACUCCGGUAAACACUGAGGAUACAUCUCCGAACCGACGCACCCUAGCUCUGCAGAGAGGCUUCCCAGAUGGCUCAGUGCUAAGGAAUCCGCCUGCUAAUGCA
rnacentral:lncRNA from 1 species